CAGUCGCCGCGGUAAUACGAAGGGGGCUAGCGUUGUUCGGAAUCACUGGGCGUAAAGGGUGCGUAGGCGGAUUCUUAAGUCAGGGGUGAAAUCCCGAGGCUCAACCUCGGAACUGCCUUUGAUACUGGGGAUCUUGAGUCCGGAAGAGGUGAGUGGAACUGCGAGUGUAGAGGUGAAAUUCGUAGAUAUUCGCAAGAACACCGGUGGCGAAGGCGGCUCACUGGUCCGGAACUGACGCUGAGGCACGACAGCGUGGGGAGCAAACAGGAUUAGAUACCCCCGUAGUCCCUGUCUCUUAUAC
rnacentral:rRNA from 1 species